ensembl:lncRNA
CGCCGCUCGCCUCGGCCGGCGCAGCCCCGGCCGCCGGGCGCACCCGUCCCGUGCGUCCCCGGACGUCGCUCUCUGCCCCGGGAACGUCGGGACUGGAGCGCCCGCGCUGAGCCACCUUCACCGACCCAGAGCGCUGCGGCUCGACUCACCACGGAGGCGCUGGGACGCGGGGAAGUGCGUACUCUCAACGGGGAAUGUGUGUGGAGGCUUUUAGGGGUGCGGGGUAACUCCCCAACUCCAUGGGGGCCCUGGUCGGCUCUGCCGCCGCGUCCGAGAUCUGAUGACUCGCUGCGCGCGGCGCGGGGUCGGCGACUUGGGGCGGCGGGGCGCAGAGUACCGUGACCUGGGGGGUCCCCGAAGCUGGGAGCCAGGUCGCCUCGCCUCGGGCCUCCUUGACCCCUGGGGCGAGGCCUGAACCGGGUCGAGAGCGAUCUUGAUGCCGGGGGAGUCCAGCCCGCCUGGGACGCUCUCGCGGUCGUGGGGACUCGUCUGGGGCGGCGGUGGCUGAGCCCGAGUCCGGCGCCGCCACCGCCGGCGUCCCGUGCGCUCGCUACCCGCCUGGGGACCGGCCGCCUAACUUCUUCCCGGGACGGACACAGCGCUCGCAUCCCGGGCAGAGGUGGAAGCUCGCUGAUCCGGAUUCGGCGAGGGCACCGCUCUCGGCGGCGGCGGCGGCGAGGGAACAAGUCUCGGGGAGUCAACCUAGGGCACCAAGCCCCCACCCAGGACCCGGCGGGCCCCAGCGGGCGCGGAGAGAGAUGCGCGUUUCAGGCAGAGGUCCUCUCCUCCGGUUUUCGCGACCCUGGCGGGACCCUCUGCCCUGCAAACUCCCACCUGGGACCGCGGCUCCGGCAGGUCAAGAUCCCUAGUGGAAGGCAGGUCAGGGGCCUGAAGGUAGACCCUUUUCUCUUUCUCCCAGCCAGGCGAUGCCCCUGCGGCCUGGGGCGGCGGCGUUGGGUGCUGCAGAGCCCGGGAACUUCCCACCCAGAGGAAAGGCCGCUUCAUCCCGGACCCCGCUGUUCUCCGCGCCCCCGGCACUGCCCAUCAGCACCGUGGGUAGGGGUCUUUAGAGCCUCUGCGGGCAGCCCAGGGAGACCACCAACCCAUAGGCCCUUGGGCCCCAGGGAGGCUCAGGUGAGCAGCGCUUGUCCUCCGGACUGUUGGCCGUUCUGGCGGAUCUGCUUCUGUUCCUCGGGCCAGCCGGCUCCACCCCGCGUCUCUGGAUUCCGGGACAUCGGACAUCUGGCUCCCACCACGCCUUGUGCAGGUAACGAAGCUCCCAGCUGCCAGAUAGAUGGAUGCUGAGACUCCCCGUGGGGUGUUCAGGGCCCCGCCCUGCAGGAGGGCCUCCUGGGGCUUCACAGGGAGCAGGGCAGCCCACACCUGGCCAAGCGUGUUGAAGAGUGACAGGUGUGUCCUGGCCGUGAGCUUGUCCAGAGGCCUCAGCGCUCUGUCUCCCCAGCCCCCUCCCCGGGCCUCCUGGGGCCCUGGGGGAAUCCCAGCUGCCUUCCUGCCUCUGAGCCUCCGUGCAUACUGUUCCCUCUGCCUCCUCCCUCCCCUGGGACCCGCAGGCCUUCUCCUCGGCCUGCACCUCCCUCUGGGUCAGGCCUGCUCCACCCCCACCGUCUCCCUCCUCCUGGCCGAGGGCCGGGCACCUCUCACUACUGGUCUUGUGUCAGCUGCUGCCCAGACUCUGCCUCUCCCAGGCCGGCCCAGCCAGGAUCCUCCGCAGUGACGAGCCUGCCCCCUGCGCCCCCGAGGAAUCCAAUAAACCUUUGUGAAACCAGCUACCCGAGUGCAGUGUGGACUUAUUGGAAACAUCUAAUUUCCAAACAUUUCAUCCUGCCCUUCUGCACGCUGGCGGGCAGCCCUAAGCAAGGUAGGGCGUGUCCGCGGCCGGGCAGAGUGAGGUCUUCGAGGACCUGGGACCCGGGGGCACACAGUCCCUGGGAGAUCCCCUUCGGGCAGAGCGUCUGGCGAAUCCCCUCAUCCCCCUGGCCGCUGACCUUCCUGGGAGUCCUCUCACGGGAACCCGAGAACCCCCAUGGCGGGGCGGGGGGAGGGCUGUGCUCACCCUUUGCUUUUGCUUCAAAGACGCUUUUUUCUUUCUGACUCGACCUCUUCCGACUCGGCUCGGUUCGGCUCAACAGGGUGGAUGCGCUGCUGGUGGGUGGCGGCUGCGGGCUCAGCGGCUUCCGGGCUUAGGGGUCUUAGAGGUGUCCUUGACCCAGCAGGUCUCUGUCCAUCUUCACAGGACAUGCUUCGGCCGGGCACCCUCCCGGGAGCUGCCGGCUGGGCUCUGGGGUGGUUGGCUGCCUGGGAGCCCAGCCAGGAGAGCUUGUUGGGGCCUUGGGGCCUGCAUGGAGCUGGUGUUGGCAGCGUUCCUGAGCCGGGGGAGGUCUGGGGCUUCCGGCCAAAGAGAAGGGAAGGCCUGGAGGUGAAGCCCUGGCUACCUAGUGGGUGACCUGGGCGUGUCCC